UACGUAGGGUGCAAGCGUUAAUCGGAAUUACUGGGCGUAAAGCGUGCGCAGGCGGCUUUGCAAGACAGAUGUGAAAUCCCCGGGCUCAACCUGGGAACUGCAUUUGUGACUGCAUGGCUAGAGUACGGUAGAGGGGGAUGGAAUUCCGCGUGUAGCAGUGAAAUGCGUAGAUAUGCGGAGGAACACCGAUGGCGAAGGCAAUCCCCUGGACCAGCACUGACACUCAGGCACGAAAGCGUGGGGAGCAAACAGG
rnacentral:rRNA from 1 species